CUGAAUUAUAUUCCCUACUGACCUAAACCUAAAGUGAACUAAAUGUCUCGCACUCUCGCCUCAUUCUUCCCCCAAAGUCCCAAACGGCCAAACCCGAUCUGAGAGACUGAGAGAGAGGCCGCCAUCUCAAAGGCGAUCUGAACCGAACCCAGGCGCCUCCUCCGGCCGCUUCCGCCAUGUCCGCCAACACCAAGCCCUCUCUCUCUCUUCACUUCCUUUUUAGCCUUCAAUUCAUCGAUUUAACCCAAACUCGAUCUGAGAGAGACCUUCUCCUUCACAAAGCCGAUCUGUACCGAGCCCAGGCGCUCCUCCUCCGGCCGCUUCCGCCAUCUCCGCCAUCUCCAAGACCUCUCUCUCUUUGUCUCUUCACUUCAGUCUUAGCCUAAUUCAUCAAACUCGAUCUGAACCUUCAUUGAAAAUACUCGAUCUGAAGUUCCCAAACUAGUUCUGAACCUUCAGUUACAUACUCGAUCUGAACCUUCAGCUAGCUUACUCGAUCUGGGCAGGACUGGAGUCUUCCACCCGAUCUCCGACUCUAACCAAUCCGCCGCUUCUGAGCUCUUCACCCAUGGAUCCUUCAACAGUUUAGAAGAGGCGUAUGAAGCCCUGAGAUCAUUUGAGGUUCUCGGGAUUGAUAAGCCUGAUAUACGUGCCGCUACUUAAGUUCAGAAAAGGGGAAAGCUUCAACUAGAGUUGUGAUUGUUUGGUUACUAAGUUGGAUCUUGAACUGCUGGAUUAAAGACUGGAAGAAUGGCUACUAAGUUGCUGUAUUAGAAUUAGGACUUUCUAUUUCAUUGCGUAUUUGUACUUGAAUUUGGACUUCGUAUUUAAAUUUGGACAUUUUGUAUUUCAAUUGUAGCU